rnacentral:lncRNA from 1 species
AAACACGACUGUACACAGCUCCUAAACUGGAGUGGUCAAUCCCAUCUUGACACACGCACCGACAAGUCAAGUACUUGACUACACUCAGCAGCCUUCCAUCACUGAAUUAGAAAUUCAGGUAGUCCAGUGCCUAAGUGCAGUGAGUUGCUUGCAAGUCACCAUGGCGGUCUCAGGUCGGAGGGACAUUUAUACCCAUAUCCCAUCAGAGCAAAUCUUGACAGCAGAAAUAGCUCCGG